GACAUGUCCGCUAACAUAACCAUGGUUAAUUUUAUUAUUAUUUUUUUUUUCUAUAUCAUUAUGAGGAGUGAGAAACAAAAUUUGGUAGACACUUUUCCACCCAUAUCCUCGAUUGCAGUCAACCAAAUACUCCACAUUUUCAUAACCUCCAUUGCCGUCAACCAAAUGCUCCAUUUUCUAAGUUAGUUGUUUCCGACCUUGCGCAUUCUCAAAGCCCAUUCAAAUCUCAGUCUUUAAUGCCUCGAUUCGAACGUAGAAAAUGUAUUUCUUGAGCCUUUAGACCAUCUCCAACUCUGGGCUAAAAGCCAAAUUACCUCCCAAAUUACCCCCCCAAACACUCUCCAACCCAUGCUAAAAUUUUAGGCUAAAUGCCAAAUGCUAUUUCUGGGCCAAAUACCCCCCCAGCUUUCCCCCCGGGCUAAAUGCGAAAUAUUUAUCGGAAUUUAAAUUUUUUUAGAUUAAAAUGUUCAUAAAAUUAAUUUACAAUAAUCUACAUAUUUAUUUAUUUUUUUUAAAUUGAUUUAAGAAAAAAAUUGAGGCUAAUUUCAUUCUUUAAUAAUUCCGGGCUAAAAUUUUAAGGUAGAAGGGUUGGAACAGAAAAGAUGUUUAUGGGCUAAAAGUUAAAUUUUUCAGGCUAAAAAAUUUGGCUUUUAGCCCAAAGGUUGGAGAUGGUCUUAGAAAACUAUGCAAGUGCUAAUGGUGAAAUGAUGGCACAAAAACAAACUAUUUUGCUUGCCAAGUCUCACGUGAAAUGAAACUUAGAAAUUUUCUCGAACAAUACUAGCGAAACUAAUUUUUAAAACAAAAUUUGAUGAUGUGUUAUUAAUAGAAAAUAAACAUGUUAACCAAUACUCAAGUAAUAAUCCAACGAUCAACCACCACAUAAUUUUCAAAUUUGAGGGUUGGCUACUGUAGUUUCUAAUUUUCUUGAUAAUUUUAGUAGCUUUGUGUGAUGGGAAUCCAUUUUCUUCAAACCAUGAUAAGGGAAAGUGUAAGUUGAGUGGGAAAGUAGUUGGUGGAGUGAAUAGAAUUAAGCAAUAGGUAGCCCACAUAAAGAGAAAUGUAUUUGGUGUCCAAGGUCUUCGGAUGAGGAUAAUGUCAAAUGUAAAACCGUAUUAAAAGCUCCAAAAAGUAAGAAGAAACAAUACACAAUGAGAAAGUGAGGAAAGAACUCAACUUCGAUACAUUGAAGAAGUUGAAGAAAUUGAAGUUGUAGAGCCAAAGACAUUGUCGUGUCCUCUUAGGCAUAUGGAUUAGUUUACAUCUUGCGUCAACACAACCAUGCAUUGUUGAAAAAAUAGGGUUUAAUUGCUAUAUUUUAAUCAUAUAGGAAAAUAAGAAAUCAUUCAUACAACUAUAUACCAAAUUUAAUGCACUUAUAAUGGAAAACAAUGUCAAAUGCACAUGAAAAUGGAUUAAAAAAACUUAAAAAUCGGUCAAGGCAAAUGUUACACAUUAUGUUCUUAAGGGAAAUUUAUGGCCCACUGCGGUGCUUAUGGUUGAUCGGCACUUAUCUCCUAGGAUACAACGACCAUGUUCUUGUAAUAGUUGCACUCCAAAUUAUAAGGUUGCAGUGAACCACGAUUGUGUUAAACUAUCUCAUACUCACUUAAUCUUAAGUAUGAUAUGGCUCAUAUGAACUUGUAAAACUUGACCCGAAAUUCAUGAAUGACUCAAUGUGAUGAGGUCAUGACUCAUAUAUGAACUUGUAAAACUUGACUUGAAAUUUAUGAACUUGUAAAACUUGACUUGAAAUUCAUGAACUUGUAAAACUUGCCUUGAAAUUCAUGAAUGACUCAAUGCGAUGAGGUCUUUAUAUAAACUAGCCUUCAUGUACACGCUUACAUGAGUGCAAAAGGUAUUUUUUGAAAUACGGCGUGCUAUGCGCAACUUACGCAUUUUAAAUGUAUUUAUAUGCGCGAAUUGCUUCAAUUUUUUUUCUAUGACAAAAGGAAAGUCAAAUAUUUGGACUAAAUGAAUAAUAUUAGACCAUGCUAGAAAAAAACCCCUCAUAAACCAAUCAAAGCAGCUAAAUCCACAUAAUAAAAUAGGCAUUUCUAUUUCCAUCUACAUUCUAUUGAAUUGACAUUAAAAUAGAGAAAAUAAUAUUUAAUAAACAACUGAUUGAAUCAUAUUAUUACUAACUCAUUGUGAGGCUAAGCCCACCCCUUUCUCACUUAGAGCAACUUCAGCCCUCUCUAAGAGGCUAGCCCAAAGCCUAAAAAAAUAGGCUGGCACCUCAAAAACCCAUUCCACCUUACAAAAUAGAACAGCCCAAAGUCCAACCCAGUCUCUAGGCUGGCCUAGAAUGGGCUGAGUGAGGAACCGGCC
rnacentral:lncRNA from 1 species